rnacentral:tRNA from 1 species
UCCCUGGUAGUAUAUCGGUUAGUACACGCGCCUGUCAUCUAGUCCUCGCGCGAAAGCUGGGUUCGACUCCCAGCCAGGGAG